GGUUAAGCGACUAAGCGUACACGGUGGAUGCCCUGGCAGUCAGAGGCGAUGAAGGGCGUGCUAAUCUGCGAUAAGCGCCGGUAAGGUGAUAUGAACCGUUAUAACCGGCGAUACCCGAAUGGGGAAACCCAGUGUGAUUCGUCACACUAUCAUUAACUGAAUCCAUAGGUUAAUGAGGCGAACCGGGGGAACUGAAACAUCUAAGUACCCCGAGGAAAAGAAAUCAACCGAGAUUCCCCCAGUAGCGGCGAGCGAACGGGGAGGAGCCCAGAGCCUGAAUCAGCAUGUGUGUUAGUGGAAGCGUCUGGAAAGGCGCGCGAUACAGGGUGACAGCCCCGUACACAAAAGCGCAUAUGCUGUGAGCUCGAUGAGUAGGGCGGGACACGUGGUAUCCUGUCUGAAUAUGGGGGGACCAUCCUCCAAGGCUAAAUACUCCUGACUGACCGAUAGUGAACCAGUACCGUGAGGGAAAGGCGAAAAGAACCCCGGCGAGGGGAGUGAAAAAGAACCUGAAACCGUGUACGUACAAGCAGUGGGAGCCCCACCACUAAGCCAGUGGUGAACUCCACAUACGCAUCCUUUGCUGAGGAGACGGUUAACGGAGCGAAAGCGACGUUCAACCUCAAAAGAAGCAGAGGGGGCUUAGUGGUGGGGUGACUGCGUACCUUUUGUAUAAUGGGUCAGCGACUUAUAUUCUGUAGCAAGGUUAACUGUAUAGGGGAGCCGGAGGGAAACCGAGUCUUAACCGGGCGUUAAGUUGCAGGGUAUAGACCCGAAACCCGGUGAUCUAGCCAUGGGCAGGUUGAAGGUUGGGUAACACUAACUGGAGGACCGAACCGACUAAUGUUGAAAAAUUAGCGGAUGACCUGUGGCUGGGGGUGAAAGGCCAAUCAAACCGGGAGAUAGCUGGUUCUCCCCGAAAGCUAUUUAGGUAGCGCCUCGUGAAUUCAUCUCCGGGGGUAGAGCACUGUUUCGGCUAGGGGGCCAUCCCGGCUUACCAACCCGAUGCAAACUGCGAAUACCGGAGAAUGUUAUCACGGGAGACACACGGCGGGUGCUAAUGUCCGUCGUGAAGAGGGAAACAACCCAGACCGCCAGCUAAGGUCCCAAAGUCAUGGUUAAGUGGGAAACGAUGUGGGAAGGCCCAGACAGCCAGGAUGUUGGCUUAGAAGCAGCCAUCAUUUAAAGAAAGCGUAAUAGCUCACUGGUCGAGUCGGCCUGCGCGGAAGAUGUAACGGGGCUAAACCAUGCACCGAAGCUGCGGCAGCGACACCGUGUGUUGUUGGGUAGGGGAGCGUUCUGUAAGCCUGUGAAGGUGUGCUGUGAGGCAUGCUGGAGGUAUCAGAAGUGCGAAUGCUGACAUAAGUAACGAUAAAGCGGGUGAAAAGCCCGCUCGCCGGAAGACCAAGGGUUCCUGUCCAACGUUAAUCGGGGCAGGGUGAGUCGACCCCUAAGGCGAGGCCGAAAGGCGUAGUCGAUGGGAAACGGGUUAAUAUUCCCGUACUUGGUGUUACUGCGAAGGGGGGACGGAGAAGGCU
rnacentral:rRNA from 1 species